rnacentral:rRNA from 1 species
UACGGGGGGUGCGAGCGUUGUCCGGAAUCACUGGGCGUAAAGGGCGCGUAGGUGGUUUGAUAAGGGUGUGGUGAAAGUCCGGGGCUCAACCCCGGAUCUGCCGUGCCGACUGUCAAACUCGAGGGCUGUAGAGGCAGACGGAAUUCCGGGUGUAGCGGUGGAAUGCGUAGAGAUCCGGAGGAAGACCGGUGGCGAAAGCGGUCUGCUGGGCAGUUUCUGACACUGAGGCGCGACAGCGUGGGGAGCAAACAGG